GAAGGGGAGCGGUGCCGCGUGGGAAGGGGCUUCAAAACCGCCGGCGCGCCGGUGCCCGA
rnacentral:tRNA from 13 species